rnacentral:rRNA from 1 species
UACGGAGGGUGCACACGUUAUCCGGAUUCACUGGGUUUAACGGGUGCGUAGGAGGGCAGGUAAGUCAGUGGUGAGAUCUCCAAGCUUAACUUGGAAACUGCCGUUGAUACUAUCUGUCUUGAAUACCGUGGAGAUGAGCGGAAUAUGUCAUGUAGCGGUGAAAUGCUUAGAUAUGACAUAGAACACCAAUUGCGAAGGCAGCUCGUUACACGAAUAUUGACUCUGAGGCACGAAAGCGUGGGGAUCAAACAGG